rnacentral:lncRNA from 1 species
AAAAAUUGACACGAACAAAUAAGAUUACCCAUGGUAGCCUGGAGAUGGAGUGCUCACCCUUGAAUCAAGAUCUUCAAUCAAAAUCUAGAGAUGAGGUCAUGCCUGGGCCUCUAGAACACUUUCUGCACUCAACAAAAGAAGAGUACAAGGUACUAUCAGUACAAAUCACUAUGUACUGGAAGGUAUUAUAGGCCAACUCAAUUUAAUAGUAUGUACAUAAAAUAAAUCAAAUAACAAGUAAACAGGCAUCAUCACAUAACAAAUAUUCAAUGAAUCAAUAAUACAACAACCACAGGUUAAACAGUGCUCACAAACAAGCCACAUAACCAUCAAGAGUAUCAACCAUACUGUAAACCUCCACAGAAUCAACACAAUAUUUACACACAUGCUAUGGGACUUAUUUUUAUCCAAAUAGUCAUGACUUGUAGGAAACAAUCUAUUUUCAUGUAUCAUGCCGGCGUGGUACCUGAUCCAACAUAUAGAUAUCCGUACCGGCGUAUUACCUGAUCCAACAUAUACAUAUCCGUACCGACGUGGUUCCCGAUCCAACAUUAAUAAGUAUUAUCAAUAUCAAAUUCACACAAUCUCACAACAUACAACAUAAUGUACCAAGUUUAAAAGUACACUUAAAAUCCUAAGACAAUUCCAUCAAGUAAAUUUUGAAUAAUCAUUUUACACGCAUCAAUAAUUCAAACAUCAACAAUUUCAAGCUUGUUCGAAUACCAAUCAACAAGUAUCCAAUUUAGUAUCAUACACACAAUUAAGUCGAGUCUAAACUCCAAUUAAACAAUAACCUACCUCAAUCGAAGAAUUCAAACACAAGCUAACUUGCCCAGGGUCUUGCCCUUCCUUAUGUUUCUGAAUGAUCAAAAUCUGAAGACUUCUCAACUUUCCCUUCAAAACCUCAAUGGUGAAAACUGAACUAUCGUGCCCUUUUUUCUUUCUUUCCUUUUCUCUCCACCUUUUGAUCUAUAUCGUGAUUGUUAUUAUAAAUGGUAAACCCUAAUCACCUAAUUUCAUCUUUAUAUUAACCCCAUAAGUAAAUAAAUUAUCAUAUUGACCUAUUAACUUAUUAAUUAAAUUAAUUAUUUAAAUUAUCCAAAACUUUAAUAUAUCCUUAAAGUUUUUUCAGGGUCCUAUGUAAAUAAAUCAAUGACUUAAAUCACUUUCGGACACUUUAGAAUCUAUAUUACCCCUUCUCGUAAGUUAUAAUUCAUGUAUACAGACUACGGGAAGAGCUAAAAUAAGAAAGAUUAGAAAAUUUAAAAAAUGACCGAGAGCGUUGUUUCACGACCGGUCGUUUGAUUUUUAUAGUCAUUUCUCUAUUUUGGAUCUAUUGAAGUGAGUAAAUAGUUUUGGGCCAAAAUUUUAGGUAAACGUUCUUGUAUGAAAAUUUUGAUGAUUUCAUCAGCUCCAAAAUAUUGCUUUUAGGGUAGUGGAAUCCUUGAUCUGAUUCCCGAGGCUUUCAGACUUAUUUUGGAUUAUAGGAUGGAUUUUAAUAAAACCAAAUCCUUAGGUGUAGGAGCCAUUUUUCAAUCAAAACGACCUCUGUUGAAAAUUUCGAUGGUUCAAAUGUCAUAUUUGGUAGGGUAUCAUAGAUUGUUUGCAUUCAUGGGAUUACAAAUGAAUUUUGAGAGUCUUUCUCAAGACUUCGCAAAUUGACAAAGUAGUCGGUGCAUCAACACCUGAUGCAAGACAAAUUGGCAAUUGGCCAUUGUGUUAAGGAAUCACAACCUCUAUGUUCUCCAGCUAACCUUCGUGUUUGCCAAGUGGAAUUCAUCCUGGCCGUUCCAGGCUCCUUCUACGCAAUCACGAUGGACCGCCUACAUUCUCAAAGGCCAGUCUUGGUGAGCCCCUAAGAUCGCAAUGAGGGUCCCACAUUCACAAAAAUAUACCCCUUAAAAAUAUAUUCCUCCCUUUAUUUUCAUCUUACAUACUAAAUAUAAAAAAAGUACUGCUCACAUUGGGAGCUCGUUAAUUAGUGAGGGAUUGUAUAUUGGAGCAAGGUUUGAGUUAUAAAUAUUGUAGUGAUCAUUUUCUCAUAGUUUUCUUGUAAGUUCUCGAUUUAAAUUUGAUUUAAUAUUCUAUUUUUUAUUAUUAUUUCUUCGAUUGGUUGGGAUUAUCUAGGGGCUAUUUUGGAGCUUGAAUUACACACAAUUUGGGGAAAGUGAUCCUUGAACUGUGAAACAAUUAAUGACAAAUUCAAUUGUCGAAUCUGUUGGUGGGCCCUACUAUUAGAGUUUAGAACGCUUUCUGAUUCCGAGUAUAAAUUUACAAUAUGAGUAUCUAUAUUUUCGUCUUGAUGUGUAGGAUAUUAUCUUGAUAACAUGAUAGCAGUCAGAGGCUUAGCAAAAGAAAAAACUCCAUUAUAGAGGUUUUUAUCUGCUAGGCUUACCUCUCUUUUAGACUUUUCUCUUCUACUAUUAAAAAUGGUGUUGUGCAAUCUAUGUUUGGGUUCUUAUGAUCCAUAUAUUAUUUUAGCAAUUUCUGAAUAUUCUUUGUCGAUUAGAGUUUUUUUAGGAUAAAUUUCGACCUUGUUUUCCUUAAAUUAAUAUCUCUUAUCCCCUUAGGAUUAGACUUAGCAUAGUAAGUGCCUUGGGAGGGAUUGUGAAGCCUUAGCCUAGGUUCAGGUAGGUGCUUGUAUUUUAUUGGAUGAUCAGGACUUAUAAUGGUCCUUAUAGCCCUUUCUAAUAUAGGUUGUUGUAAAAUAAUGUCCUUUUUAACUUAAUUUGGUUGUAAAGUAUCUUUAGGAGACUAAAAUUGGGAAUAGACUUCCUUGGUCGAGUUAGCUUCGAUGUUUUUGCCUUGUUAGUAUUUUAAACUGAAAUCGCGUCUUUAGACUUAAUAAAUAAAAUCUAGUUAUCCCUUAAUGAUUUGGCUUCUAAAAUGGAAGAAAGAGUUAGAUGGACUUGAGAUGAAUUAUUCAUUGGGAUAUUAUUACUUAAUGAUUUUAAAUUAUGAGUUCCUCUUUGAGUUCAACAUAUGUAUACUACUUUUAUUUAUGAGUUCUAUUUGCGAGUCUGACAUCUGGUUUAUUGCUAUUUAUCCAUUAGUUCAGGUUCAAGUUUAGUGUCAGUAAUGUUGUUAUUAUUCCUUAGUUUUGGUUUGAUUCUGUAAUUUAUUAUUAUUGUUGUUGUUGAUCUCAGGUUGGAAAUAUGAAGGACGAUAAGAUCUAUGGUUAUGGUCUGAGGAUGAGGAGUAUACGGUACACAUAUCGCAUAUCACAAUUCAUUUUACUUUUGUUGUGCUACUUCUGGUUUUUACUUUAGUUUUACUCUUGUUUAUUCCCACUGUGCUUAUGGGGGCUCAGUUGGGUCCUUGUGUGCAUCUUUUGGGCUUAUGGAGGUACAGUUAGUUAUAACUUGGUCUUUUAUUUCUAUUGUUAAGUUAUUUAUAUUUGUUUAUCGUCUUUACUUAGAAUAGCCUAUCGUUUCCAUUUAUAUCUCUAAAUUUUGAAUUUAGAAAUAUACUCACACUUCAUUUAUACUUCUAUUAUAACUAAGCUCAGUCGGACUAUGAUGCUUAUUAAAUACUCGUGUUUUGGUAAUCAUACUACACUUCUGUAUCUUUUUUCCUGAUGCAGACCAAAUACCGCCAUUAAUACUAACCUCGAUCUAUGCUAUGAAUCAAAGAUUAGGUCAGUUUUUUGAGUCUAAAGCAAUACUUCUCCUUUUGCUUUCAUAAUAGUCUUAUUUUAUAUAUUUUGAGACUAUGUUGUAGAUUUUGUCACUGUCCAGGACUUCUUUUAUGUUGUGACUCUUCUACUGACCUUGAAAAGUCUUGGGGACAUAUUUUGGUAUUUUUUUUCCUCUUCCCUAAGCCUACAUCUAGAGCUCAAGAUAAGGGUAGAGGUAAAGGCCAACCUUGAGGCCUAGGUCAUGCUAGGGCUACAGCCCUAGCUCAAGGCCAAGCUAGGGAGCCUUUACUAGAUCCGUUAUUGGUCUUGCAACUAAGAUAGAACCAGAGGAUCUGUCACUAGAACAACCAGUGAGCCGAGGGCAGCCCAGGCUCCACCCCAAUUUAUCUAUUCAUCGUAUCUCCAGGAUACCUUGGUAAAACUAUUGGGCAUGAUUGGGGUCAAUAAAUGGAUGGGGCCCAAACAUCCGUUCAGAGGUCAGCUGAGGGUGGAUUUGGUAUAGGAUCACAACCUACAACUGCAGCUUUUGGAGUAUAGACUUUACAAGCACAGGUAGGUACACUGAUAACAUUAGCCCAACCAGUAAUGACUUUUGAGGAGCAUAGAAUACUGGAUCGAUUUCUUAUAUUUUCUCCACCGAGGUUUAUAGAGCCACCAGAAGAAUAUGAAUUUGAGUUCUUUUCUAGAUGUGAGAGGAGGUUUUAUAAUUUGGAUCUAGUUGAGUCGGAUAGCGUGUAUUACAAAAACUUUUAGCUUGAUAGAGUAGUAAGACAAUGUUGGACGGGAUUUCUUAAAUUCAGGCCAAUUGGAUCUCCUCCUAUGACUUGUACUUAGUUCUCUAAGGCUUUCUUGAUGAAUUAGAUACCUUGCAAAAUAUGCUGGGAAAAGUUCACUGGGUUAUAGUAUACUUCUAUGAUAGUUGGGGAGAAUGAGGUGAUAUAUCACAAGUUAUCUAGACAUGCCACCAUUAUUCUACCCACCAAGUGUGACAGGAUACAAUACUUCAUUAGAGGAUCAAGACUUUUACUUCGUAUGGCCGCGCAAAGUCUGGUAGCUGUGGCUAGAUCUUUCAUUGAUGUUGCUAAUUAUGUUUACACUGGAAAGGUCUGCAUCGCGAGGCCAGUGGGGUCAAUAAUAAGAUACCUCUUAUGAGGGCAAUUAUAGUAGUAUUUAUAGUGGUUUUAGGUCCAGAGAUAGAGGUUUUCAUAGUCAUUAUCCUCAAUAGCAUCAUUAAAAUUCAUCAAGGUUAAUCUAGUAGGCCUGUUCUAGCAUCGCUUCAAAUUUUAGAUGGAGGCCAGCCUGGUUAUAGUGAUUUCUACAGAAAGGCAGUGGUCAACUAUCGAUAGGUAUUCAGGUAGGGUCUUUGGGUUGAGAAGACUAUUUCGGGUAAGCGGGAGCUUCUAGUGAGGUUAGAGUGCCCUAGGCAUGCUAUGAGUGUAGGUUUAUUGGUUAUUUUGCCAAUGAGUGACCCCAUUUUGGGAUACUUAAGCCUUCUGUACAGUGUGUUGCACCGAUCAGAUCAGUGCCAUCUUGAUACAAUAAAAGCUAGGAAGGCACAAAACACACUCCAAAAAAGUCCACGAAUCUUAAGGAUCCGAGGACCUUUUUGGAGACCACGCUCAAAAUUCACUACCAAAAACAAGAAUACAAGAUAUAAUGGUGUAAUUGACACCAAACAACCACAAAAAGUUAAGAACAAGGAGAUACCAACAACAACAACAAGAAGUUAACAACAAGUCACGAUUUCACUAGAACCAAGAACAAAUGGUUACAAGUUACAAACACUAACAAGAUUACAAUAAAAGUAAAGAGAUAGAUAGAUAGACCAAUGGUUGGUAUAAUCUUAAGAACCCAAGAACUUAUUCCACUCUUGGACCCGUAACACCACACAUAAUAAAGACCUAUAUCUUACGUGACACAAGAUCGGAUUCCACCUCUCAAGCAUCGGCGUUUCCAAUCAAAACACAAUCAAUAGUGAUUCCACACUAGUUUCUUAUCCUAGUUUCGGGUGGGAACUCUUCUCUACUAGAGAGAGAGAUUGUUACAAGAGUUCUACACUCACAAAUAUCUUCAAAAAUUAAGUAAUAAAACCCUACAUUGUUCUUUAUAUAUUGUAUUACAUAAUAGAAACUAAAAUGACCAAAAGGACCUUAAGUGAUGGGCGCCCAUCAAGUGUAGCCAAGUGUAGUGUUUGGACAGUUUUAUGGAGCAUAAUUAGGUCCUCUUUGGCUCUUCAAUUGCACACACCAAGUCUCAGACCCAACAUGCACUCCCAUAAGUCUAAAUCUGUGAUUAUUCUUGUAUAACCCUCUCCAUCUUGAGAGGUAUUUUCCUAUAAAUUCAUGGCUUCACCUCGUUCAAUUGUCCACUGCAAAGAAACCCACUCAAAACAGCCCGCAAAACAUGUAAUGGCUCAAAAUUGUCCACAAAAGCAUGAGGAGCCCGAGAUUUUCAUAACAAAAGUCUUGGCCAACAUCUUUAUUUUGACCUUCGGCUUCCUCUCUAUCUUGAGCCUUGUCUUCAAUCUCAUUCGAAACACAUUCCAGCUCUUUUAUUGGUGGUGGGUUCCUUGUGGAUUUCUAUGUCUUCCCCUCAACUUCUCUUCUAUCAUAUAAGCAUCAUUGUAGACUCUAUUUUUUUCAUCUUUCUUUCUACCUUACUCCUCCUCUACAUGGAUAUAUUUAUUUUGGUGAAGUGGACUUUCGAUUGAGAAGAAUGAUUUGGUAAGGUGGAGCUUCGAAUGUGGAGCUUGGAUAGGAGGAUAUUGACUUCCAAGUCCUUGUUGGACUUGAUCGAAUUAAGGGGGAAGUGACUUAUUUAGGUCUUAAGUUUGAGGACAUUUGUUGGCUUGGCUUAUGUCUAUGUCAUUUGGUAGUGGUCUUGGAGGAAUGAUCGUUUGAGGUAAAGUUUUGGGAGUAGAAACAUAAGAGUUCCUUUGAAUUUCCACUUGAUCCAACCUCUCAAGUAUAGUAGACAUGAUCUACAACUUGGUUUUGGCAACCCUUUCUAUCUUUGACUUCAAAGUCAAAUUCUUGAAGUAGCAGCACCCAUCUGAUCAACCUUGGUUUUGCAUCCGUUUUUGCAUCAAAUAUCUCAAGGCUGCAUAGUCAGUGUGGACCACCACCUUGGUUCCUAUAAAAUAAGCCCAGAACUUCUCAGAAGCAUAGGCUACUUCAAGAAGUUCCUGUUCUAUGACGGUGUAGUUCUUUUGAGUUCCAUUCAGCGCUUUGCUAGCAUAAUAGAUUGGAUAAAACAAUUUGUCUUUAUUUUAUCCCAGCACAGCUCUAAGGGAAACACCUCUUACAUCACACAUGAUCUCAAAUAGUUUUGACCAAUCUACUAAAACAAUAGUAAGGGCAUCAACCAACUUCUCUUUAAGUCAUUCAAAUGUCUUCAAACAAUCAUCAUCAAAGGAGAAUUUGAAUUCCUUCUCCAAGAGUUUGCAAUCUUUGAGAAGUCUCUUAUAAACCUCCUAUAGAAGCCAGUAUGACCAAGAAAUCUACGCACCCCCUUCAUUGAAAUAGGAGGUGGAAGAUUUUCUAUAAACUCAACUUUGGCUCGAUUAACUUCAAUCCCUUUUGCUAAAAUUUUGUGUUCGAGAACGAUGUCUUUAUUCACCAUGAAGUGACAUUUCUCCCAAUUAAGCACAAGAUUGAACUCCUCACACCUCUGCAAGGCCCUACUCAAAUUUACCAAACAUAUGUCAAACUAAUCUCUUACCACAGAAAAAUCAUCCAUAAACACCUCCAAGGUGUCUUCAACCAUAUUUGAGAAUAUCUAUAUUAUACACUACAGAAAAGUGGCAGGUGCAUUGCAAAACCCGAAAGGCAUCCUCUUAAAAGUAAAUAUGCCAUAUAGGCACGUGAAUGUCAUCUUCUCCUGAUCUUUAGAAGCAAUCAUAAUCUGGUUGUAACCAGAAUACCCAUCUAAGAAAUAGUACCAACCCUUUUCCCACUAGCUGAUCAAGCAUCCGAUCCAUGAAAGGCAUUGGGAAGUGGUCUUUCAAUGUCCAUGAGUUGAGUUUUUUUGUAAUCCAUACAAACCCUCCACCCAGUAAUAUGUUUGAGUGGGAGCAACUAUUUUUUCUGUUAGCCACCACUAUCAUGCCCCCUUUCUUGGGCACACACUAAAUAGGACUUACCCACUUACUAUCAGAGAUGGGGUAUACCACUCCUGCAUAUAGCCACUUGAUGAUUUAUUUCUUAACCACCUCUUGCAUAGGUGGGUUUAAACACCGCUGAUGCUCAAUAGUUGGGACAUAAUCCUCUUUUAGUUAGAUUUUAGGUAUGCAUAUACCAGGAGAAAUACCGAUAAUGUCUGUAAUCGUCCAACCAAUAGCCCUCUUAUAUCUCUUAAGAAUAGAGAGAAGGGCUUCCAUCUGUUGUUUACCUAAGUCAGCUAUAAUAAUAACAUGGAGUGUAUUCCCACAGCCCAAGAACACAUACCUCAAAUGACCAGGCAACUCCUUCAGCUCCAAAGUGGAUGGCUCUUCAAUAGACGGCUUGGAUGGUCGACUGGGAUGAUUUUUCAAGUCCAAAUCUAGCUUCUUGGGUGCAUAAGAAUAAGACCCCAUGCCUGUCCAGGCACACACAGUUUCCUCAUAAUCUUCAAUAUUGUCUUGAUCAAAAUUCACUAAUACGACAGCUAAAGUCUCCACAACAAAUUUUUCUUCUAUAGGUACUUCCUGCUCCUCCUCAUAAUAAAAAUUCACAAUAGAAAAUACGCUCAUAUCUUUAUGCUAUUUCAUGGAUUGGUAUACAUUGAAUUGAACUAUUUCAUUAUUCAGCCUGAACAGUAGCCCAUUUUCCUUUAAAUCAAUAAGCACACACCCAGUUGUGAGGAAAGGUCUACCCAAGAUUAUGGGCACCUCGAAGUCUACCUCGCAAUUGAGAAUGACAAAAUCAGCUGAAAAUAUGAAACUGGCCACCUUAACUAAUACAUCAUAUAGAAUCCCCACAGGCCGCUUCACAGACCUGUCUGCUAUAACAAAUCUCAUGUUCGUGGGAGUAGGAUCCCCCAAACCCAGUUUCUUAUACAUAACAAGUGGAAUUAAUUUUAUACUAGCUCCAAAAUCACAUAGAGCUUUUGCAAAAUCAAGAGGCCCAAAGUGCACGGGAUAGUAAAUGCUCCUGGAUCUGCCUUCUUCUGUACCAACGGCCUUGUGGAAAUAACGCCAUAAUGAUGGAGAUUGUCCAUUGUCUCAUAUCUAACUGUCCACUUCUUUAUAACAAGGUAUUUCAUGAACUUAGCAUACCCGAACAUUUGCUUCAAUGCCUCUACCAAUAGCAAGUUGAUUGUCAACUGCUUAAGCAUGGACAUAAACUUGCCAAACUUUAUGUAGUCGGCCUUUUUUUUUCAACCGAUGGGGAAAUAGAGGAGGUGGUUUUGGGAGCGUAAUAACCACCAAUUCAGUCUUCUUUCCCCUGCUCUUCUCCAACUCAUCAACCUGCUGAUGGUUGGAUGGUGUAUUAUAAAUAACUUUAUCCAGUUUCUCAAACUCCACUGGAUAAGUUUCUUUAUGCUUAAUAUCUUUUGCAAUCACAGCUUUGCCCACAGACGGGCAUGUUAAAACCUUAUCACUCCGUAUGGUAAUUUUCUUGCAGGAGCUAUUAUUUCGAUGAUUCUGAACUGUAUCACUUGGAAAAGUUUUGCUCUUUCUUUGAUUUAAUGCUACUGAGAAUUGGCUCACUUGCUGCUCUAACUAUUUGAUAGAAGUAGAGUGAGUUUACCAACUGACUCAUAGAAGACAAAUCACUCUUUAUAGUAGUUACCUAAGAGUUGGUAGUCUCAACUCACUUUAAUAAUUUCUCUAUCACGUCCUCUAUAGAUAUCUUGCCAGAGCUAGUUGUAGCAUUAUCUUUGCAUCCAGGAGGUAUAUAUAGUCCACUUCUAUCAUUUUUGAUCUUCUAGUUCCCUUGAUCUCUAUCUUUGUAACCAACUUUGUCAUAAUAGUUCUGAACUUAAUUUCCUUGGCUAUUGCCUUAGAAACAUCCCUGAUUAUUUUGAUAGUUUACCUGUUCUUCCGAAUCAGAAUCAACUUUUCCCUAGGAUGCAACAACUUUUACCUUCUCUAUUUUUCGAGACAAUAGAUGCUUAGUCAGCAAAUCUGUAUCUGUCUGUGUCUUUAAAUAUGCCAUAUCCUGGUCAUGUUUUUCUUCCUUCUUGCAUUGCUCUAUAGUCAUACUACCAGACACAGUAGGGCAUACUAUCAUAGAAUCCCUGGUAUGCUAAGCUCUACUCUAUUUGGUUAUUUGAUUGAGCAUCUCUGAGGCCUCUGGAAAAGUAAGGUCAAAAAAUGAUCCUCCUGCAUCAUUAUCCAUGACUGGCUUCGUAAUAGAGUUCAACGCCCGAUAAAGAGUCUUCGUCAAAUAAAUAUCCAUCAUGUUAUGGUUUAAGCAUUGCAUCAACUUCUUUUUAAACCUCCCCAGGUCUCAUGAAGAGCUUCAGUGGGAAGCUGUUGAAAGUUACUGAUUUCAUCCAUCAACUGUACCCUUCUGGAUAGUGGAAAGAACCUUUCUAGGAAAUCCUCUUUCAACUGCCUCCAGUUGGUUAUAGAGUCGGGAGUCAAUUUAUUUAGCCAUAGUGUCACCUCUCCAGACAGACGAAAAAAAACAUAGGCGGAUAGCUUUCUGACCCAUUUUUAGAUUAUCAAAAGACUUACAAAUGGUGACAAAAUUCACCAAAUGCAUGUUUGGAUCAUCUCCAGGAAGACCACUGUACAACCCCUUAAGAUGAAGGAGUUGAAUCAUCGUACUGGUAAUAUUAAAUUUAGCUCCUGGUGCUAGAGGUAGAGGAAUCAUAGAUCCAGUUGCACCUACUCCAUCCAUUCCAUAUUCAUCGCCGUUUAGAUCAAACUACACCGGUUGAUGCUCUUGCCUUGCCUUAAAAGGGCAAUUUCUGUUUACAUUUCGAUUCACUGGUGCAACCGUAUUUUCUGUAUGCCUUUGAUUAACAGGAUCUAACAAGUCGUCAUCCCCUAAAUCAUUAUCAGGAUUAGGAUGACGUGCCUGCUGGCUGUUAUUCUACUAAUUUAGUUAAGCUCUAGCCAGAGCGGUUAGUCUUUCAGUAUCUUGGGGAUCUGCCAUUCUGCUAAUUAACUGUGGUUCCAGAUGUAUUGGUAAUAAUGGUGCUCCUGAUCUCCUUGUACUUGGCAUACACAAUAACUUCCCUACAUAGAACAAAAACAACAAACAAAGUAAAAUUUAGGCAACUUGACCAAAGGUCAAUUAACAAGCACAAACUUAAUUGACAACCGUACUCCCAGACAAUGGCACCAAAAUUUGAUACGCCUAAAUUACACCUCUCUUGCGAGAGAGUAAGCGGUCGCUGUCAAAUAUAGAACCCAAUUAGGUUGGGUAUCGAAUCCCACAGGGAAUACUGUGUUCACUAAGUAUUGUGAUUGUUAUUAAACUAUUGAUCUAAGGUUCCUGAGUAAAAAGGGGUUUUGAUGUGUUAAUAAUGCUCUUUCGUUCUUGUAUCACACAGUGGUCCAGCUAACGAGAGUUAAUGCACGUGUAAUUUUAAUGAAAAAGAGUUAACUAGAGUUAUGCUCACCAAGAUGUUCAAACAGUUCGGGUUGUGAACUUGUGCUUGAAUUCUAACUUAUACUUUCAAUUGCAAGAAGUAUUGAAUUCUAAGAAUUACCCACUUGUUUCUCAACCUAAUAGGUGCUUUACCAUUUUCUCCUUUUGAACUUAAAGGAUCCAUGUAUAACUCAAUAGAACUCUCAUGAGGGUUGAUCCCAUUAGGGCAUCAACCCGUGACCCAAAGGGUAAACCUAUGGAUUUCAUAUGAAUCACCUCUUUUCCCAACAUCCACUUUCUUGUUAGCAAAAGUGGUAUUCCUGGGCUCACUUCUAGAGUUUUCAACCAAGAGAUUUCAUUAAAAUGAAAAGAGAUUCGUCCAAUUUUGAUAGAUGAUAGAAAUUAAAUGGAUUCAUAAUCCCAAAUAGUUCUCUACAUCAAGGCUACCAUAAUCCUAUUUAUGGGAGUUUAGCUACUCAUCUCCAUAUAAGAUAUCAAAGAUAUAUUGAUGUGCAUAAAUAACUUUAAGAGAGUACUUACAUAAGUUACAAUACUGUUCUUCUCAAUCUUUAAUGAAAACAAAUAGAGAAUAAUAAUCAGAUCUUAAUUUCUAGCUUCCAAUCUCCAAAAAAAGUGUUACACAGCUCUCAAAUAGAGAAGAAAGUAUGAUACUACUGACAAAAGAUGCAGAAUAAAACCUAAUACUUGGUAUUUAUAUGUUUUCAGAACUGGGAUUUUAAAAUUCAAACUCGGUGUUGCCGCUUCAUGCUCGACGAGUCGAGCGACGAUUUGUUGCUGGUCAUUUUUCCUUUGUUUUGUCCAGUUUAUCCAAGUUAUUCUUCAUACUUAGUUCUUAUCUUGAAAUCACUAAAACACCAUGUUAAAUACAACAAUCGUUGCUUGAAAACACAUAAUUCUCCAAAGAAAAAGGCCUAAAAUGUCACGUCAAAAGCCGUAACAUAAUACUUCUCCUUAAAAAAUGGGCUCUUGUUUUAUAGAAAGUAGUUGAGAUGGGAUGUAAAGUCUCUUUGGUUUUUGGGGGUCUUUCAAGACUUAACAAGUACUAAACCUUGUCUUUUACCUUUCUAAGAUCUAAAGUUCACUUUAAGGUUAACAAGUUGAUGAAUAUGGUGAAGAACUUUAAGAACACAACAACCACAACAAGAACAACCAACAACAAUAUUCCAAUAACAACAACAAGUACACAAUAACAAGGUCAACAAUCUCACGGCCAAGACCACAAGGAAAGCAGCAACAAUCGACCAACUCCCCUUUGUGUUGUGUGAUUGGUUUUGCAAGAUAUGUAGGUUGUAAUGAAUAACAAGAACACAACAACAACCUUUCAAGAUCUAAAACAACACCAAAAUACAAGGCCUUCAACUCGGUCAAGGCUAGAUGCAACACCUCAAUUUUUUGAACCUGAACACUACACGGUGCUCAUGACCCCGAAGGACCACAAGCUAAACCCAUGACUGAUAUCUACACCUUUACACUGUAUAAUAUAUGAAUAUAAAUGCAGAAACAUAAACUGAAAGGCCAUAAGGUUCAAUAAUGAACAUAAUUUGAAUAAAAACAAUGUCUGAAUAAAGCAGUAUCAUAAUACCAAAAUAAAACUGAAAUACUGAAGUCUGAAUCUAGUCUGUAAUCUAGUCUGAAAGACUCUAACGGUCUAAAUUAGAGAGUGGAAGGAACAUGUCUCUAAAUAACUCAUAACUACUGAAAGCUAACUGAAAUGCUGAAGUAAUAAAGUAGUAAUCAUGUCCUUGGAGAAUGAGGACUUACUGCUAAGUCUGAUUGAUGAAAUCUGCAAUGCUACUGCUGCUUUAGAACUCGUGUCUUUGAACCUAUGGCGUAAAAUAAAACAUCAUAGCGCAAAUGCAUUAGUACGACUGAAUGUACUGAGUAUACGAGUGAGGUAGGCUAAAUAUAAAGGGUUUAUAUGCAUGAACAAUGCUGACUGAUAUGAACGUGAGAAUAAAUACAUGCAUAAAUAACUAUAACUAAACUUGUGGUAAUACUAACUACUGAAUCUGAAUGUUGACAAGAUGAGUGUACUGAUACUAGAUACUGAAUAGAUGAAUGACUAUUUCUGAUAGUUCGAAUUAUGAAGAACUGGUCUGAUUGACUGUGUCUAACAGUCCUAAAAUUGAAUACUGCUAACAUGAGUUCUGUGAACUGAUAUAAAUAAUAACAUGAGUGACUAUAUCUAACAGUCUAGAUUAUGAAGGAACUAACUGAGUUCCAUUCUGUAUAAAGUAACUAAACUGAGAUCGGUCCUAUCUAGCGGGUAAUCUCUGAGUAUAAUAAUAAUAAAGAUGAUUUGACUUAGUCUGAGAUCAGUCCUACCUAGCAGGUGAUCUCUAAAUCUGAUGAUACUAAUACUGAUUGACCAUAGUGGAGAUCAGUCUUACUAGUGGGUGAUCUUGGACUCUAUUAAUAAUGAUAAGGAUUGACUGUAUCUAACAGUUUUGAAUCUGUACUACUAACCUGAAUUGACUGUAUCUGACAGUCCUGAUUCUAUAACUAAAACUGUGGGAUGUAUUCAUCUAACCGACAUGCCCCUUUCUAGCUAGUCUGAGGUCCAACCUGUAACCCCAGUUGUAAGGGUGUCAGUACCGCGUCAUUGGUAAAGAAAACUGUUGUAGAGUCUGUCCUAAUCUAGUGGGUGACCCCUAGGAUCAAUCAUAUACAUUUAAAUAUGCUAAUGGUUGAUCCCUGAGUAUGUCAGUCCUACCUAAUGGGUGACAUCUCGUACCUACGCUAGCUACAUUGUUCUGGAACUUAGGGAUUGCUUCUAGAGAUCUCAGUCCUAUCUAUUGGGUGAUCCCCCAUCCCUAGGCUCGCUCGGUGCUGAAUCCUACUCCCAACUGAAAAACACUGAACUGAUUUACUAAACUGAACUGGACUAAGUUCCGUUAUCUACAAAAUACUGAUUGAUUACUACUGAACUCUACUAGCUGACUGAGUUUACUGAAUUUGCUGGAUUUCACUGACUGACGAAAAUAUUACUGAGAUCUGAUGACUGACUGAGAGUAUUGAGAUUAUAAAUAUUUCUAGGAAUACUGAGGUUACGGAGAUUUAUAAGUACUGUGAUCACUGAGAUUUCUGAACUACUGAGAUUACUGAGAUUUUUGAGUUUUCCUAAGUCACAUGACUGACUGAAUUCUAUAGAUCAUGGCUUGGUAGAGAGUAUUAUGAUAACAUAACAUGGCUCUAGGCACACAACUAUAUUUUUCGGGUACAAGUACCCCCAGGACUCGAUGGAAGGAACCUGACACACAUGACACUUCUUGAUUAUAGGAAUAGAAUCCACAAUUCAUAAUACCAUAAAUAGGGGAUUUCAUACUACACAUGGUUCUCAACAUCGUAUGCAUGGAAGGAAAAGGCAUCUCGUUGAACUUCCUUAUGCUCCUGGCUUCGAUGAACAAAACAUCCCUACUAAAGCCAGACCCAUCCAAAUGAAUCACGAGAUGAUGGAGAUCUGUAAAACAGAAAUCAAUCACCUUCUCAAGAAAGGAAUCAUUCGACCUUCAAACUCCCCAUGGAGUUGUUCAGCAUUCUAUGUAAACAACAGUGCUGAAAAGGAAAGGGGAACACCCAGACUCGUAAUUAAUUACAAACCCUUAAAUGCUGUCCUCAAAUGGAUUAGGCAUCCAAUCCCUAACAAAAGGGAUCUUCUGAAACGAACUUAUAAAGCUAAUCUUUAUAGCAAGUUCGAUAUGAAAUCCGGUUUCUGGCAAAUCCAAAUUGCCGAAAAGGAUAAAUAUAAGACAGCAUUCAAUGUCCCUUUCGGACAUUAUGAAUGGAACGUUCUACCCUUUGGGCUUAAAAAUGCCCCUUCCGAAUUUCAGAAUAUUAUGAAUAACAUUUUUAAUGAUUAUUCUUAUAUGUCCAUUGUUUACAUUGAUGAUGUAUUGAUCUUCUCUGAGAAUAUUGAUUCUCAUUUUAAACAUCUUAACACUUUCUUUAAGAUUGUAAAAUUAAAUGGUUUGGUAGUAAGCGCUAAGAAGAUGCAACUCUUUCAAACCUCCAUCCGAUUUCUAGGACAUAAUCUACACCAAGGAAGUCAAAAGCCCAUCUGUAGAGCUAUUGAAUUCUCUACCAAAUUUCCUGACGAAAUUACGGAUAAAACGCAACUUCAAAGAUUCUUAGGAAGUCUAAAUUAUGUUGCUGAUUUUAUUCCUAACAUUAGACAGGUCUGUGAACCUCUUUACCAACGUCUUAAGAAGAACCCAGUUCCAUGGGGUCCUGAGCAAACUAGAGCAAUCGUCAAAAUUAAGUCUCUAGUAAAAAACCUUCCUUGUCUAGGUAUCCCCAAUCCAGAUGCCUUCAUGAUUGUUGAAACAGAUGCCUCAGACCUAGGAUAUGGAGGUAUACUGAAGCAAAGAGUCACUACUACUUCUUCAGAACAAUUAGUGCGUUUUACCUCAGGAAUAUGGAAUUCAGCCCAGAGGAAUUACAGUACUGUCAAGAAAGAAGUUUUAUCUAUAGUGCUAUGUAUCACUAAAUUCCAAGAUGACCUUNNNNNNNNNNNNNNNNNNNNNNNNNNNNNNNNNNNNNNNNNNNNNNNNNNNNNNNNNNNNNNNNNNNNNNNNNNNNNNNNNNNNNNNNNNNNNNNNNNNNNNNNNNNNNNNNNNNNNNNNNNNNNNNNNNNNNNNNNNNNNNNNNNNNNNNNNNNNNNNNNNNNNNNNNNNNNNNNNNNNNNNNNNNNNNNNNNNNNNNNNNNNNNNNNNNNNNNNNNNNNNNNNNNNNNNNNNNNNNNNNNNNNNNNNNNNNNNNNNNNNNNNNNNNNNNNNNNNNNNNNNNNNNNNNNNNNNNNNNNNNNNNNNNNNNNNNNNNNNNNNNNNNNNNNNNNNNNNNNNNNNNNNNNNNNNNNNNNNNNNNNNNNNNNNNNNNNNNNNNNNNNNNNNNNNNNNNNNNNNNNNNNNNNNNNNNNNNNNNNNNNNNNNNNNNNNNNNNNNNNNNNNNNNNNNNNNNNNNNNNNNNNNNNNNNNNNNNNNNNNNNNNNNNNNNNNNNNNNNGACCUUCGCCCAAGCAGUAAAUCCUGCUGCAGCAAAAGUUAUUCCUCCCUCUCCUGCUAAAGAGGAAUUCAAAUUCGUUACUUCCACGGUACUGCCUAUCAUUGCUUUAGAUAAGGCUUACGAAGGAUAUCCAAUCAAUCAGCUGGUCAAACCGGUAUAUACUAACAACAACUUUGUGGAUACAGAAGAUCCACUAAAAACCCGGAGAUAUUAUGAAGCUAUUCUGGUCGAUACAGAUUCGAUCGAAGUUGAACAUUCACUGGAUAAUAAUAAUCCAGAUUAUAUUAGUUAUUCAAAAUUCACCAUAAAAAGGAUAUUAACUCCUUUUAAUUGGUUUGUUGAUCACUUACAUACCCCCGUUGCUCUAUCAAUGCCGCAUAGGCCCCAGACCUACAAUUGGCAUGAUUACAGAGCAGCCUGGUUUAAUUUCAUUUAUGUUCGCCCAGGACAUACUUGGUUUGUUAAAUAUUGCCCUGCCAUGAUGGAAGCCACUAUACCUAGAUGGUUCUAUGAAUGGUGGACCUGCUUCGGGGGAACUAAAGAUGUUCUCCCCCAACAAUUUCUUAACAGAUUUCCAGACUUCCUAGUAAAGGAAGGUUGCUCCACUUUGCCUGAGCACAUUCAAAUGUGCAAAUUCUUUAUAAAGAAAAGAGUAUCAUAUAUUAUUUCCUGGAACUUCUCUAAAGAAGAGCAACACAGGAUCAAAUACUUAUCCAAGGAGAUCAAAAUCAAAGGUUGGACUCCAAAGCCAACCGCUCCCAAAACUCCAGACAAAGAAAAAGCUGCCACAACGGCUUCCCCCCAUUCCUCUACUUCAAAGAAAGUUUUAAAAGAAAAAUUAAAACAAGCACUGGCCAAACUAGAUGGACCAGACUCUACAGACAACACCGAAGAGUUGUUACAACUUAUCGCUGAAGCAUCCUCAAUCGGAAGCAGUAGUGACAAUGGCGAUAUGCUAGACCCCAAAGGGAUAGCUCUAGCCUAUCUGGAUCCCUAUUAAGAAUAGGGAAAUAAUCUUUCCAAGAGAUAGAGGUCCAAAGGGCCGGAAUUACCUCUUGAAAAGACAAUUCACUAUUCCUAAAAGGAAUCCAGCUGUCUCACUAAUAGACAAGAAGAACAAGCUCUGCUUUUCAAAAAGCAAGCAUCAUUUCAGACACUGCUUUUCAAAAGCAGCCACUACUGGUUCUGCUUUUCAAAAAGCAAGCAUCAUUUCAGACAUUGCUUUUCAAAAGCAGCCACUUACUUUUGUCGGCAACAUCUUAGCCGUCCACCUGUAUUAAAUCUAGUACACUUGAUGUAUUUCGUUUGCCUAUAAAAGGCCACACUCCCCUUUAGAGAAGGCAUUCAGAAAUUUCCCCAAUACGAAAUUCUCUCUGCCCAUUCUCUUAAAGCUCUCUUGUAAUGUUUUCUUGAAAGUUUCUAAUAAAAUUUGUAAGUUUGUUUCUACUUCUCUUAAUCUUAUUGUUUUACUCACAAUAAUCUAACUAUUAAAUAAAUAGUAUCUACGAUCCGUUUUCUUGGUAUCAAAGCCAUGUUGGCAGGUUAUUUGUUUAACAUGAGCAGCUAAACAAAUAAUCUGUCUAGAGCAUGAGCUAAAUUAUAUUUAUAAAAGAGCAUGUUAUUUUAAUCUAAGUAUGCUUUACCUAAAUAUUUAAUUAUGUUAUUAUGUCUUGUCUUAUAAUGGGGUUUUAAUGCAAGUUCGGGGUUUCUAUUUACUGGUUAAGUGUUUGACAGAACCGAUUAAUCUCCGGUGAGGACGUUGGUCAGCCUGAAAGUAUAGGUCGUUAAGCUUAGGAGAAGCGCGUUAGACCUUGUUUGGUGGUCCCGUCACUGAGAAAACACUUAGCAGUCCUUAGAGUAAUGCCAUUAAAACUUGUUAAGAUCCCAUAAGCCAUAGAUGUAUUUGCAUAAUUAUAUUUGGUUACUGCAUACUUGGUUUCAAUAACAUGUCUGUUUUAUAAAUACUUAUUUGCUCUGUUAGUCUCUAGGCAACCUUGUUUAAACUAUGAACAGUCAUGUUAAAAACACUGUUAACCUUUCUUCUUCGGCAACUCCGAUUGCCACUAUCGAAAAUGAUCUUCAAAACUGGAGCAUUCCAGAAGAAUCUUUCAAUACUAUUUAUCAAAUAGGGAAAUUUAGUUUUUUGAAAAAACAUAACAUCAAGACCUCUGAGUCUACUGUUGCCAUUAAUAAUUCUUUGGAAAUUAUUCAAUUGCUCAACGAAUUAGAUAUAAACAGAUUUAAAAAUCAGUUUAAUUAUCUGCAUGUUGGACUUGUUCAAGUAGCUAUUAAGCCACUGUUCCGACAAGGAUUAGACAUCCCUGUCUGUGCUCUUCUACGAGAUGCUCGUCUAUUAAAUUUUGACGAUUCGCUCUUAGGAGUAAUCCAAAGUAACCUCGCCGACGGCCCGGUAUACUUUAACUGCUACCCAAAUUUCUCGGUCGAUAUCAAUGAUCCUAACAUCAUGGACGUUUUAACACUAAAUGUUAAAACUAAAAACAUGAACAGUAAGGAUAAUACCCGAGAAAUAGCGAUCAUAUACAGAGUAUAUUAUCGACUCAUGGGUACUNNNNNNNNNNNNNNNNNNNNNNNNNNNNNNNNNNNNNNNNNNNNNNNNNNNNNNNNNNNNNNNNNNNNNNNNNNNNNNNNNNNNNNNNNNNNNNNNNNNNNNNNNNNNNNNNNNNNNNNNNNNNNNNNNNNNNNNNNNNNNNNNNNNNNNNNNNNNNNNNNNNNNNNNNNNNNNCGGAGUUACUCCGAAAGAUCUCAGAUCGAACGGGUUAUUCAACACCCAGAUGGAUCUAUAGAUCUAAAAUUCUUAGGAGUCGACCCUUCUCGACUCUCUUCAUCUCGAAGGUCCGUCUCCUCAGGUGCCUCUUCCUCUAAAAACCAACGUGAACCUAAUGAUCACGACGGCCCCGAUGAUAAGGGAAAGAUUAGGGGAGUUGACUACUCCGGUCUUGAAAGGGGAAGCUUUAAUGACUUCGUUAGAGUAGGAAAUAUUGAGUCCUUCUAAAGGAGGAGUGGUGGAUUCGACUACGGUGUUUCGCUGAGUAUACCAUUUGGUAACGAUGGCGAGUCAUUAUUGCAGUCAGGACGGAUCAUAACUUUGAUCAGGAAGGUAUCCUUAUACCAUCUGAAGUCUGCAAGAUUUUUGCAGCGAAGGUUAUUAAGGAUUUCUAGACUUCUAUCUUGAAAGAGUUUUGGUUCUCCUACAAAGUGUCUAGCUAUGUGGUAGAGGAGAGUUGCACAAGCAUCUUCUUGUGCUUCUUGAACUACGGUUUCUCGACCAUCUACGGUGCGAGCAACCUGUUCAAUAGCUGUAGCAUUGUAAAUGAGGUUCUUUUCGUCCUCAGAAACAUAAUUGUCCCACCAAUGUUUGAGCAUACCGGUGAAUCCCGAGACAACCAUGGUGGCGGCUCCUUUGUCAGAGAAACCUUUAAUUUUGUAGGCUGUGAUAGCCACGGCAAUCUCAUGGAGUUUAUUGUAGAUUUGGUGUUCGGCCAAACCAUCAAUAUUCCAUUCGGUUAUGACUCGUCCAUCAUGACUGGAUGUGGAGAGGAAAGGAUUUUCUUCGAAUUGGACAUCCGGAGGAGAAGGUUUUCGGUAAUAGUUUUUUCUAGUGGAAAAUCAAUCACUAGAAAGUUUAGAGAGAGAGUUCUUUUCUUUAGAACUGGAAGCAUCUUUAGAGCUAGAGGGCUCUUGAGAGAUUUUGAACUUGGUGAGUUUGGAAUUAAUUUUUUCCAAGAUUUGUUCUGACAAUUUAAAAUCGUCAUUCAGAUUUGGAAACUUAUCUUUAUGAAACUCUGGGAGUUUAAAGAUAGGGUUGGAAAGAGGUUUAGAGCAUGGAGUGCUCUUGGUUGGUAAUGGGGCAGAAAGGGGAGGACUUUUGGCGUCCUCUAAUAUUUUAGUGUAAAUGGAGAAAAAUUCCGUGUUUUUGACUUAUAUAGGGUGGGAAAUUGACCAAAUUACCCCUCAAGGCACGAAAAUAGAAUGCUAAAAAACUGGACAAAAGCCUAUAGCCAGGGUGGGGCCUUGAUAUUCCCCCGCUCUAUCCAGGGCGACACCUUGCUAUAACGGUGGAGUUUCCAGGGCGGCGCCUUGGCUACAACGGUGCUAAAAGAUGGGCGACGCGGGCUAAAUACCUUUUGCUACUGGUUUGGAAAUCCAAACAUGCCCUUACGAUAUUCGAAAAAUUCUGAAAUUUACCUAGGAUGUACUAAGGCCUUGCCCCAUCGUAAUACAAUUUGAAAAUCUAAAAUCGAAGGUCGGAAAGAUCAUCAACUAAAUCUCCAAAGUUCAGAGGUCUAAAAUAAGACUAAGUGUUGAACACUUAGCAAAAUUUUCUAAGUCUAGGAGCUUGUAAAGCCUAAUGAGAUGAAUUUUAGACCUAGGAUUUUACGGGGUAUUACACUCGAACAACAAGAACAUCCAAUCGGCCACACUUGUUCACAACAUAAUUUUAACAAGUUCAAGCUCAAAUCUAGAUCUAGACUCAAAGUUCUAGUGAACAAGAAAACCAACCCUUUGGAACAACUAAAAAAAACAAAAGACACCAAGAUCUAGACACCACAACUUAGCCAAGACAACAACAAGAAGAACAACAAUUUCUGGAAUUUUCAGCUUUUCAAUAAUUUUUUUUGAUUUUCUAAUAAGCAAGCCCAAGAUUGAUCUUGCUGAUCAAGCCAUGCUUUGAUACCAAAUGAUAUAAUAAAAGCUAGGAAGGCACGAAACACACUCCAAAACAGUCUACGAAUCUUAAAAAUUCGAGGAUCUUUUUGGAGACCACUCUCAAAAUUCACUACCAACAACAAAAAUACAAGAUAUAAUGGUGUAUUUGACACCAAACAACCACAAAAUGUUAAGAACAAGGAGAUAACAACAACAACAAGUCAUGAUUUCACUAGAAACAAGAACAAAUGAUUAUAAGUUACAAACACUAACAAGAUUACAAUAAAAGUAAAGGGAUAGAAAGAUAGACCAAUGGUUGGUAUAAUAUUAAAAAACCAAGUGCUUAUUCUACUCUUGGACCCUUAACACGACACACAACAAAUACCUAUCUCUUACGUGACACUAGAUCGGAUUCCACCUCUCAAGCCAUCGAUGUUUUCAAGUAAAACACAAUCACUAGUGAAUCUGCACUAGUUUUUUAUCCUAGAUUCAGGUGGGCACUCUUAUCUACUAGAGAAAGAUCUUUUUACAAGAGUUCUACACUCACAAAUAUAUUUAAAAACUAAGUAAUGAAACCCUACAUUGUUCUUUAUAUAGUCUAUUACAUAAUAAAAACUAAAUGAUGAAAUGGCCCUUAAGUGACGGGCGCCUAUCAAGUGUAGCUAGGUAUAGUGUUUGGACAAUUUUUGGUGUAUAAUUAGGUCCUCUUUUUCUCUUCAAUUGUACACACCAAGUCUCAGACCCAACAUACACUCUCAUAAGUCUAAAUCCAUAAUUAUUCUUUUAUCAUACCUCCAGCUAGAGAUGGUGCAUGGGGCUACUCGGGUGGUUCUCAAGGUUCUAGUGAAGUCCUCGGGCAGAUAGGGUAGGUUGUCGGGUAGGCACAUAGUCUGGAUAUGGGAAGGGUCAUCUAUAUGUUGUUCCUAGUAAGUUGGAGGUUGAGGCUUCAGAUGUUGUCAUUUUAUCUACGAUUUUUGUAUGCAAUCAACCAACUUCUUCUUUAUUUGAUCAAGGCUCCGCAUAUUCAUAUUCUUCUACCUAUUAUGCAUCUCUAUCGGUGCUGUCUUAUGAGAUAUUAUACGUGCCCAUGUGUAUGGCUACUUCCGUGGGUGGUUUUUUAGUAGUGAAUUGGGUAUAUCGAUCUCUUAUGGUGACUUUUCAAGAGUGUCACACUCAGACUGAUCUUAUUAUGCUAGACAUGAUUGAUUUUGAUGUGAUUUUGAGAAUGGAUUGACUAUUCCCCUAUCAUGUGAUCUUUGAUUGAUUUGUCAAGAUCGUUGCCUUAGCUACGCUUGACAUCUCCUCAGUUGUGUGGUGGGUUCUUAUAGUCAUGCACUAACAAAGAUUAUUUCUUGUAUUCAAGCUAGGAUACUGGUAUUAAGGGUUGGUACGACUUAUCUAGCUUAUGUUUGUGAUGUUAGCAUUAAGAGCCCUUCGCUUGACUUAGUUCCUAUAGUCUGUUAGUUCCCUAAUGUUUUCCUAUCGACCGGCAUGGCCUUCCUCAUGAGCGUGAUAUAGACUUUGCUAUUAACCUUAUGCCGGACACCCAACCAAUUUCUAUUGCACCUUACUCUAUGAAUCUUGUCGAGCUAAAGGAGGUAAUAAAUAUUCAGCUUCGGAAUCUUCUGAGUAAGAUAUUUAUUAGAUCGAGUGUAUCACUGUAGGGUACUUCAAUCCUAUUUGUAAAGAGAAAAGAUGGCUUUAUAUGUAUGUAUAUUGAUUAUUGGCAGCUACAUAUGGUGAUAGUGAAAAAUAAGUAUCCUAUGUUUCGUAUAUAUGGUCUGUUUGACCAGCUUCAGGAUGACACCAUAUUUUCUAAGAUUGACUUGAGAUAUAGCUACCAUCAGUUGAGGAUUCGGGUGGAGGACAUCCCUAAGACAACCUUCAGGACUCUCUACAACCAUUACGAGUUCUUGGUGAUGUCUUUUGGGUUGACCAAUGUCCCAGAAACGUUCAUAGACUUGAUGAACUAGCUAUUCAAGCCUUAUUUGGACCCUUUCAUGAUUGUAUUUAUUGACGACAUCAUUGUGUAUUCCAAGAAUAAGGAGGAGCACGAGUAGCAUUUGAGGAUUGUGCUCCACAGCUUGAGAGUUCAUCGGCUUUAUGCCAAAUUUUAAAAGUGCAUGUUCUGGCUUGAGUGUGUAGCAUUCUUGGGGCACGACCAUCCUUUUCUCAUAUACCCUAUAAAUAGGGGCAGAUAGCUACCCAUGAAAAUGUGAUCGUGGGUGCUACUUGUUCCACCCAUUUGUUAGUUCACCUGGCUAUUUUGAUUUGUCCAAUUUAGCCCAUCAUAAAUUUUAAUAAUAUAUAAUUCAGAUUGACCCAUGAGAAAUUUUUUUAAAAUAUAUUUUAAAAGGCUUUUUUGGAUAUGCUUCAUAUAUCCAUAAUGAAGGUUCUCUUUCAAAGGUAGAUAGAGAAAUUUAGGAAAACAAACAAGGAAAAUAAAAUUUCGUAAGAAUUAAAUGGACUGUGUUCAAAUAGAAAAAAAUCUUUCAUAUAGAGAAACAAAUGAAAGUCUAAUUAUCAUAUGAUGAAAUACAUGACUUAAAUGUUGCCAAGAUUUGAUUAAUGAUAUGAAAUAGAUAUUAUGUCAAAUACAAUCUCAAAAAUUAGCUCAUGCAACAAAAACUAUCUAAGAUUAUAUAAAGAAACCUAGACGAACCUACAUAAGUAGGGAAAAGAUCUUCUACAUAUAAUUAGUUUCUACUCUUACCCAUUUGUAAACUAUUUGUGCCUUUUGAGGAUCCCAAUAGUGGAAUUGAAUAUGUGACUAGUGACCAACUCUUUUUCUAAAAU